UGGGGGAAUCUUCCCGCAAUGGACGAAAGUCUGACGGAGCAACGCCCGCGUGAGUGAAGAAGGUUUUCGGAUCGUAAAACUCUGUCUUUUGGGGCGAACGUGAGUAUGGUGAACAAUCAUAGUCAGUGACGGUACCAAAGGAGGAAGCCACGGCUAACUACGUGCCAGCAGCCGCGGUAAUACGUAGGUGGCAAGCGUUGCCGAAUAUUGGCGUAAAGAGCGCGUAGGCGGGAUAGUCAGUCUGUUGUAAAAGUGCGGGGCUCAACCCCGUGAUGGCAAUGGAAACAGCUAUUCUUAGAGUGCAGGAGAGGAAAGUGGAAUUCCCAGUGUAGCGGUGAAAAUGCGUAGAUAUUGGGAGGAACACCAGUGGCGAAGGCGACUUUCUGGACUGUGUCUGACGCUGAGGCGCGAAAGCCAGGGGAGCGAACGGGAUUAGAUA
rnacentral:rRNA from 1 species